CCUACGGGUGGCAGCAGUGAGGAAUAUUGGUCAAUGGACGGAAGUCUGAACCAGCCAAGUCGCGUGAGGGAAGACGGCCCUACGGGUUGUAAACCUCUUUUGUCAGGGAGCAAGGUGCAGGUCGGGACCUGCUGUGAGAGUACCUGAAGAAAAAGCAUCGGCUAACUCCGUGCCAGCAGCCGCGGUAAUACGGAGGAUGCGAGCGUUAUCCGGAUUUAUUGGGUUUAAAGGGUGCGCAGGCGGAGGCACAAGUCAGCGGUAAAAUCGCGGGGCUCAACCCCGCUCCGCCGUUGAAACUGUGUCCCUUGAGUGCGCGAAGGGUAGGCGGAAUGCGUGGUGUAGCGGUGAAAUGCAUAGAUAUCACGCAGAACUCCGAUGGCGAAGGCAGCCUGCCGGCGCGCAACUGACGCUCAUGUACGAAAGCGUGGGUAUCGAACAGGAUUAGAUACCCGGGUAGUC
rnacentral:rRNA from 1 species